rnacentral:rRNA from 1 species
UACGGAGGGUGCGAGCGUUGUCCGGAAUCAUUGGGCGUAAAGAGCGCGUAGGCGGCCCUGUAAGUCCGUUCUGAAAGUCAAAGGCUCAACCUUUGAAAGCGGAUGGAUACUGCAGGGCUAGAGUCCGGAAGAGGCGAGUGGAAUUCCUGGUGUAGCGGUGAAAUGCGCAGAUAUCAGGAAGAACACCCGUGGCGAAAAGCGGCUCUCUGGAACGGUACUGACGCUGAAGACGCGAAAAGCGUGGGGGAGCAAACAGG